UACGAAGGGGGCUAGCGUUGCUCGGAAUCACUGGGCGUAAAGCGCACGUAGGCGGCUCCUCAAGUCAGGGGUGAAAUCCUGGAGCUCAACUCCAGAACUGCCUUUGAUACUGAGGGGCUCGAGUCCGGGAGAGGUGAGUGGAACUGCGAGUGUAGAGGUGAAAUUCGUAGAUAUUCGCAAGAACACCAGUGGCGAAGGCGGCUCACUGGCCCGGUACUGACGCUGAGGUGCGAAAGCGUGGGGAGCAAACAGG
rnacentral:rRNA from 1 species